AUUGAACGCUGGCGGCAGGCCUAACACAUGCAAGUCGAGCGGGGCGGCGGACGGGUGAGUAAUGCCUAGGAAUCUGCCUGGUAGUGGGGGAUAACGUCCGGAAACGGGCGCUAAUACCGCAUACUAUCAGAUGAGCCUAGGUCGGAUUAGCUAGUUGGUGGGGUAAAGGCCUACCAAAGAGACGAUCCGUAACUGGUCUGAGAGGAUGAUCAGUCAAACUGAAGCUGAGACACGGUCCAGACUCAUACGGGAGGCAGAAGUGGUGAAUAUUGAACAAUGGGCGAAAGCCUGAUCCAGCCAAGCCGGGUGUGAGAAGAAGGUCUUCGGAUUGUAAAGCACUGUAAGUUGGGAGGCGUUACCAACAGAAAGAGCACCGGCUAACUUCGUGCCAGCAGCCGCGGUAAUAC
rnacentral:rRNA from 1 species